rnacentral:rRNA from 1 species
AAAUUGAAGAGUUUGAUCAUGGCUCAGAUUGAACGCUGGCGGCAGGCCUAACACAUGCAAGUCGAGCGGUAGCACAGAGAGCUUGCUCUCGGGUGACGAGCGGCGGACGGGUGAGUAAUGUCUGGGAAACUGCCUGAUGGAGGGGGAUAACUACUGGAAACGGUAGCUAAUACCGCAUAANGUCGCAAGACCAAAGUGGGGGACCUUCGGGCCUCAUGCCAUCAGAUGUGCCCAGAUGGGAUUAGCUNGUAGGUGGGGUAACGGCUCACCUAGGCGACGAUCCCUAGCUGGUCUGAGAGGAUGACCAGCCACACUGGAACUGAGACACGGUCCAGACUCCUACGGGAGGCAGCAGUGGGGAAUAUUGCACAAUGGGCGCAAGCCUGAUGCAGCCAUGCCGCGUGUGUGAAGAAGGCCUUCGGGUUGUAAAGCACUUUCAGCGGGGAGGAAGGCGNUNAGGUUAAUAACCUNNNCGAUUGACGUUACCCGCAGAAGAAGCACCGGCUAACUCCGUGCCAGCAGCCGCGGUAAUACGGAGGGUGCAAGCGUUAAUCGGAAUUACUGGGCGUAAAGCGCACGCAGGCGGUCUGUCAAGUCGGAUGUGAAAUCCCCGGGCUCAACCUGGGAACUGCAUUCGAAACUGGCAGGCUAGAGUCUUGUAGAGGGGGGUAGAAUUCCAGGUGUAGCGGUGAAAUGCGUAGAGAUCUGGAGGAAUACCGGUGGCGAAGGCGGCCCCCUGGACAAAGACUGACGCUCAGGUGCGAAAGCGUGGGGAGCAAACAGGAUUAGAUACCCUGGUAGUCCACGCCGUAAACGAUGUCGAUUUGGAGGUUGUGCCCUUGAGGCGUGGCUUCCGGAGCUAACGCGUUAAAUCGACCGCCUGGGGAGUACGGCCGCAAGGUUAAAACUCAAAUGAAUUGACGGGGGCCCGCACAAGCGGUGGAGCAUGUGGUUUAAUUCGAUGCAACGCGAAGAACCUUACCUGGUCUUGACAUCCACAGAACUUNNCAGAGAUGNNUUGGUGCCUUCGGGAACUGUGAGACAGGUGCUGCAUGGCUGUCGUCAGCUCGUGUUGUGAAAUGUUGGGUUAAGUCCCGCAACGAGCGCAACCCUUAUCCUUUGUUGCCAGCGGUNCGGCCGGGAACUCAAAGGAGACUGCCAGUGAUAAACUGGAGGAAGGUGGGGAUGACGUCAAGUCAUCAUGGCCCUUACGACCAGGGCUACACACGUGCUACAAUGGCAUAUACAAAGAGAAGCGACCUCGCGAGAGCAAGCGGACCUCAUAAAGUAUGUCGUAGUCCGGAUUGGAGUCUGCAACUCGACUCCAUGAAGUCGGAAUCGCUAGUAAUCGUAGAUCAGAAUGCUACGGUGAAUACGUUCCCGGGCCUUGUACACACCGCCCGUCACACCAUGGGAGUGGGUUGCAAAAGAAGUAGGUAGCUUAACCUUCGGGAGGGCGCUUACCACUUUGUGAUUCAUGACUGGGGUGAAGUCGUAACAAGGUAACCGUAGGGGAACCUGCGGUUGGAUCACCUCCUUACCUUAAAGAA